UACGUAGGGUGCGAGCGUUGUCCGGAAUUAUUGGGCGUAAAGGGGCUCGUAGGCGGUCUGUUGCGUCAGGAGUGAAAACUCGGGGCUUAACCCCCGAGCCUGCUUCUGAUACGGGCAGACUAGAGGUAUGCAGGGGAGAACGGAAUUCCUGGUGUAGCGGUGAAAUGCGCAGAUAUCAGGAGGAACACCGGUGGCGAAGGCGGCUAUCUGGACAGAGUCUGACGCUGAGGCGCGAAAGCUAGGGGAGCAAACAGG
rnacentral:rRNA from 1 species